rnacentral:lncRNA from 1 species
UAAGAGGAAAUGAAAGAGCACAGGGUUUGAACUCAGGACUGACUGCAGUCUGGGCUACACCCCUUACUAGCUCUGUGACCUGCGAGGCCCUUAGCACGGCACAUCUCAGUUUCUGCAUCUGUAAAAUGAGGAUGAUAAAACCUACCCCACAGUGGUUUGCAUGUGUAUAUCUGCAUACAAAUAAAGAUAAAACUAUACAAGGAAAAUGAAUGUGCAAGGCGCCUGAGGGAUGCUCACUACGGAUUGAUUUCCAAGCCCUUUAAGGAUAUUUGGGAGUUGGUAGGUUCCAAGUAAAUUUUGCUGGGCACACACAAGGCCUUUUGUUCACCCUUCUUCCUUUGCCAUCCUGACAUUCCUGAUGACACAGACAACCCACCUGGGGGGGCUGCCCACGCCCCUAGGCACCAAGUGUCUCCAUUUUGGAGGAGAUAGGGGAGCCCUGGAAAGGAAGCUGUUUUCUACUUUGAAAACCCCAGAAAGUGCAAGGCUCUGGGACAGGCUGAUACUGUCUCUUUUCUCCCUCUGCCAUGCUUUACAGAACAUUCUGGGCUUCCUGUCCCAGCCUGAGGGAGAAACCAAGGGUACACAUCACUAGAAAAUAACUACGAGGCCAGAGUCUUACACGGGAACUUGGAUCCGGAGUGGGCUUUGGGCAGACAAGGAGGAGACUGUUGCAGAGCUGGGAUGGUGAGGAAGGGUGCCCAGGGCCCCAAGGGGGCCGGGAACAAAGGACUUAGUCUCCCAACAAGCCUGGGCCAGGUCAGGCGGAACUGGGGGAGUCGUGAGCGGAAAACCACCCGGGCCCCUCCAGCUAAGGGCGAGGUGUGGAAUGUGAGAGGAAGGUGAACGGAAUGGCAUGAAGGGACUUCGGUUCUGAUUCACAGUUUGACUCUGAAGCAUUCCAAACGUGGUGGGAACAGAGCCUGUUUGGAGAGGAUUGUUAUCUGAGGACAGAGCAGGAUGAAGGGAAGGGUGGGGGGUGAUGGCUGACGGCUGCAGAGAGCAUUCCAGCUUGCAGAUAAGUGAAGCCAGAAGGUUAGGCAUGAUUCAGUGGAAGUCUGAAGAACUACCCGUUCCACUCCUGACCUGAAUUGAAAUGAGACACACCAGGAAGAACUUUUGAGGCUACGUGGGUCCGUAAUGCUGGGCUUGAUCAGUGGCUGUCAGAUUUCAGCUAAAGACAUUUCCUCUUACUCUAAAUUUGCAUUCCAGGAAACAUGCCUGUUCACUUGCGUGUGUUAACUGAAAACUUCCCUGCAGGCUCUGCAAUGCAGAAGACCCAAGUUUGAUCCCUGGGUUGGG